ensembl:lncRNA
UGUGAUGAAAACGAAUUGUUCUGAUCAUCGAUGGCUGGUUUUGUAUGAAAAAUGUCAGACAGAGAGAAAGGAAUGAGUGGUGCAUAUUUUGAGACAAGAAUGGACACUUUUACAGGUCCAGGAGGGUAAUUAGUUUAUUUCACAAUUACAGGACACGGUACACAUAUAAAAAUGUACCAUUAUCCGUUCUAUAUAUAGCCAACUAUUUAUUACCUUGUAACCCCCACCUUCUUUUCUCGCUCACUCAGAGGUUACUAUCGGACAAACCAUCCUCCUCGGCGAAUCAACUGUGCUGCCCACAUUGCAUACUGGCAGGCAGGCGUGCCUUUGUUUUCAACACAGCUGUGUUUCUGUAUUCUUUAACACGUACUUUCCGGAUAAUGGGGACGUGCAGGCAGUCUCUGUUCCCAUUGUAUCGUGGUCUUCUUGACGCACCGUUAUUGAGGACCUGAGCCCUUAGGAUCAUGCCUCAAGACUACCUGGCAUGAUGACACCUUGCUGUCCCCAAUCCACCUGGCCGUGCUGCUGCUCCAGUUUCAUCUGUUCUGCCUGCGGCUAUGGAACCCUGACCUGUUCACCGGACGUGCUAACUGUCCCAGACCUGCUGUUUUCAACUCUCUAGAGACAGCAGGAGCGGUAGAGAUACUCUUAAUGAUCGGCUAUGAAAAGCCAACUGACAUUUACUCCUGAGGUGCUGACUUGCUGCACCCUCGACAACUACUGUGAUUAUUAUUAUUUGACCAUGCUGGUCAUUUAUGAACAUUUGAACAUCUUGGCCAUGAUCUGUUAUAAUCUCCACCCGGCACAGGCAGAAGAGGACUGGCCACCCCUCAUAGCCUGGUUUCUCUCUGGGUUUCUUCCUAGGUUUUGGCCUUUCUAUGGAGUUUUUCCUAGCCACCGUGCUUCUACACCUGCAUUGCUUGCUGUUUGGGGUUUUAGGCUGGGUGUCUGUACAGCAAUUUGAGAUAUCAGCUGACGUAAGAAGGUCUAUAUAAAUACAUUUGAUUUGAUUCAGCCGGGGGCCGAUUAUUAUUACACUGAGCUGCAGGUAGCCUAGUGGUUAGAGCAGUGGACUAGUUACCGAAAGGUUGCAAGAUCGAAUCCCUGAGCUGACAAGGUACAAAUCUGUCGUUCUGCCCCGGAACUAGGCAGUUAACCCACUGUUCCUAGGCCAUCAUUGAAAAUAAGAAUUUACCUUACCUUAAAUAAAGGUUAAAAAAACAUAAAAAUAAAGGAGACUACAUAAACCAUUUAAACUGGAACAACCAUUUCAGUAACGGGUGCAAUACAUCUAACUGAUUUGAUUAGUUUAGAAAAAGUAUGUUGUGCAUCUUUGUGUUGCAUGUGAUUAAUUAAUCAAUAAAUGUACUUGCAAAAACAAACCUAAAAAAAAUCUACCGGGCC